GACGAACGCUGGCGGCGUGCUUAACACAUGCAAGUCGAACGGAAAGGCCCUGCUUUUGUGGGAUGCUCGAGUGGCGAACGGGUGUGUAACACGUGAGUAACCUGCCCUUGACUUUGGUAUAACUUCAGGAAACUGGGGCAUAUACCGGAUAGGAGCUCCUGCUGCAUGGGGGGGGGUGGAAAGUUUCGGCGGGUGGGGAUGGGCUCGCGGGUUAUCAGCUUGUUGGUGGGGUAGUGGGUUACCAAGGCUUUGACGGGUAGCCGGGCUGAGAGGGUGACCGGGCCACUUGGGGACUGGGUACCGGCCCGAAUCCUAACGGGGGGCAGCAGUGGGAAUUAUUGCACAAUGGUCGGAGGCCGAUGGCAGCAACCCCGCGUGCGGGAUGACGGCCUUCGGUUGGUAACCCGCUUUCGCCUGUGACGAAGCUUGAGUGACGGUAGUGGGUAAAGAAGCACCGGCUAACUACGUG
rnacentral:rRNA from 1 species